GAAUACUUUUUAAUUUUGCUAUCCCUCCAGUAGAAGACUAGAUCUCCAAAGAAGAACGUCUCAUUGUCUCUGAGUAUUACUUCAGGUACUGGUAGAAUGAUAUGAGAACUAAGAUCACUUUC
rnacentral:pre_miRNA from 1 species